CGCAUGCCGCGGACGCGAAGCCGGGUGAGCUAUCCAUGGGCAGGGUGAAGCGGGGGUAAGACCCCGUGGAGGCCCGAACCCACUUCGGUUGAAAACGGAGGGGAUGACCCGUGGAUAGGGGUGAAAGGCCUAUCAAACCCGGAGAUAUCUCGUUCUCCCCGAAACAGCUUUAGGGCUGGCCCCGGGCAUUGACCAUCGGAGGUAGAGCACUGGACCGGCGAGGGGGCCUCACCGCCUACCGACCCAGACCAAACUCCGAAUGCCGAUGGUUUUAACCCCGGGAGUCAGAGCGCGUGGGCUAAGCUGCGCGCUCGAGAGGGAAACAGCCCAGACCGCCCGCCAAGGCCCCAAAGGCCGUGCUAAGUGGCAAAGGAUGUGCGCCCGCCCAGACAACCAGGAUGUUGGCUUAGAAGCAGCCAUGCAUUCAAAGAGUGCGUAACAGCUCACUGGUCGAGUGGGGGCGCGCCGACAAUGCGCGGGGCUCAAGCACGGCGCCGAAGCGGCGGAAUCGAUCAAUUCGAUUGGUAGGGGAGCUUUCCAUGCCGGGCGAAGCCGGAGGCGCGAGCCCCGGUGGACGGCAUGGAAGUGAGGAUGCAGGCAUGAGUAGCGAGAGAGCGGCGAGAAACCGCUCCGCCGAAAACCCAAGGUUUCCUGGGCGAGGCUAAUCCCCCCAGGGUCAGCCGGGAGCUAAGGCGAGGCCGCAAGGCGCAGCCGAUGCACGACGGGCCGACAUUCCCGUGCCGGCGCGGGCGCGCUACGACCGAUGGGACGACGGGGAAGGAUACGCGAGCGGGGUUCUGGACGUCCCCGUGAAAGCAUGUAGGGAGGGGCCCAGGGAAAUCCGGUCCCCACAUAUCCCGAGACGCGAGACGAGCCCCAUGGCGAAGUCGCGGAUUCCAAGCCUCCUAGAAAAAUCCCUAGGCAGCGCCCACGCCGCCCGUACCAAAACCGACACAGGUGGGUAGGAAGAGCAUUCCGAGGCGAUCGGGGCAACCAUGGUCAAGGAACUCGGCAUAAUCGUCCCGUAACUUAGGGAGAAGGGACGCCCCCCAGCGUGAACCGGCUCGCCCGGGCAGCGCCGGGGGGCCGCAGCGAAAGGGCCCAAGCGACUGUUUACCAAAAACACAGGACUCUGCCAAGCCGCGAGGCGAAGUAUAGGGUCUGACGCCUGCCCGGUGCCGGAAGGUCACGGGGAUCCGUUAGAGCAAUCGAAGCGGUGAACCCAAGCCCCGGUAAACGGCGGCCGUAACUAUAACGGUCCUAAGGUAGCGAAAUUCCUUGUCGGGUAAGUUCCGACCUGCACGAACGGCGCAACGACUUGGGCGCUGUCUCGACCAUGGGCCCGGCGAAAUUGCAUUAUCCGUGAAGAUGCGGAUUCCCCGCGGAAGGACGGAAAGACCCCGUGAACCUUUACUGCAGCUUGGCAUUGGCCGCAGGCGCGGCGCGUAGAGGAUAGGCAGGAGGCUGCGAAGCCCGGGCGCCAGCCCGGGCGGAGCCGACCUUGGAAUACUGCCCCCGUCGCGUCGGCGGCCUAACCCGGGGACGGCCCGGGGACCGUGCCAGGCGGGCAGUUUGACUGGGGCGGUCGCCUCCCAAAGAGUAACGGAGGCGCGCGCAAGGUCCGCUCAGGACGGUCGGCAACCGUCCGAAGAGCGCAAGAGCACAAGCGGGCCUGACUGCGAGGCAGACAAGCCGAGCAGGGACGAAAGUCGGCUCUAGUGAUCCGGCGGCCCCGAGUGGAAGGGCCGUCGCUCAACGGAUAAAAGGUACUCCGGGGAUAACAGGCUGAUCUUGCCCAAGAGUCCACAUCGACGGCAAGGUUUGGCACCUCGAUGUCGGCUCAUCGCAUCCUGGGGCUGGAGUCGGUCCCAAGGGUACGGCUGUUCGCCGUUUAAAGCGGUACGCGAGCUGGGUUCAGAACGUCGUGAGACAGUUCGGUCCCUAUCCUCCGCGGGCGCAGGAGAAUUGAGGAGGGCUGCCCCUAGUACGAGAGGACCGGGGCGGACGGGCCUCUGGUGUCCCGGUUGUCGACCAACGGCACGGCCGGCUAGCCACGCCCGGAACGGAUAACCGCUGAAGGCAUCUAAGCGGGAAGCCGUCUCCGAGAUGAGUUCUCCCUUCGGUAAG
rnacentral:rRNA from 1 species